rnacentral:rRNA from 1 species
GAUGAACGCUGGCGGCGUGCCUAAUACAUGCAAGUCGAGCGAACAGAUGAGGAGCUUGCUCCUCUGACGUUAGCGGCGGACGGGUGAGUAACACGUGGAUAACCUACCUAUAAGACUGGGAUAACUUCGGGAAACCGGAGCUAAUACCGGAUAAUAUAUUGAACCGCAUGGUUCAAUAGUGAAAGACGGUUUUGCUGUCACUUAUAGAUGGAUCCGCGCCGCAUUAGCUAGUUGGUAAGGUAACGGCUUACCAAGGCAACGAUGCGUAGCCGACCUGAGAGGGUGAUCGGCCACACUGGAACUGAGACACGGUCCAGACUCCUACGGGAGGCAGCAGUAGGGAAUCUUCCGCAAUGGGCGAAAGCCUGACGGAGCAACGCCGCGUGAGUGAUGAAGGUCUUCGGAUCGUAAAACUCUGUCAUUAGGGAAGAACAAAUGUGUAAGUAACUAUGCACGUCUUGGCGGUACCUAAUCAGAAAGCCACGGCUAACUACGUG